CGCGUGGUUUUUAGUCAGAGGAAAGGCCAGGUCAUAACUAAUCUUCUAACUCAGCUUUUAUGCUUUUUUAUAUUACCAAUUGUAUAUUCCACUUGUUUAUUAUAUCUACAGUCGUUGGUGGGAUUCAUGAGUUUCGGGCGGUUGGUGGGAUUCAUGAGUUUCGGGGGAAUGCGUUUUUAAAAUGUGUUAUGGUGACAAGAGUCUCGUGCAGUUUUAUAACACAACAACUUCUAAUUAGCUUAGCGUAACAAUUUUUACAUAUAUCAGUUCUGGCUUCGUCAUUGCGAAAUUGAGUUUGCCAAAGUAUAGCGUGAUCGCCCGAAAUAGCGAUGCGAGUACGUGAACAAAAUAGCUAGCCCGUUCUAGCGGUUAGACUUAAAAGGUCUUGGUUAUUUUUUGAAAUGAGAGGACUUAUUGAUAACCAGAUACAAAAGAAGGCGCUCCCAUAGUAUGUGAGCCAAGAUGGUACACAAACUGAACGUAGUAUAUGUACCAGGUUAAGAGUUGUCAGAUUGUGCGCCAUCUUGGUACAUCCAGUACGGGAGCGCUAAAAUAAAUUCGUUGUGAAAUUUUGAAUUCCACCACCGACCCAAAUAUGUGAUUGAAACUGAGUUAAGAAUUAGAAAGUCUAUUUAGGAUUUGUUAAAAUAUUAUAUUUUUUUUGUUUAUGAAUCAAUUUUGAUACGAUUUGGAUCGGUUAAUUAUUUUUUUUCUAUUUUGGCGCUUUUUGCACCAACAUGUUCACAUGUCAGCAUGUGUAUACUGUAAAUAUCUGAACUUGUCUUUUGUGCUAUUUUGCGUACCUUAGUUAUUUAUGUCCCUCGUUAAUUAUGUUUUGGUUUUCAUUGAACCUCCGCGUAAAAUAUGUGAUAUGACGAACUUAAUAUGACGAACCACGGCCAUUGUCCGGUUACCGGUCCAUAUCGGGUAUGGAAUUAGUUCACCAGUUAUUUGUUUUAUAUGCGUUGAUAUGUUGGUGAAAGAAGAUGUAACCGAUAACGACGAGUAGUCCAGCAAUCACAUAAUUAUCAGGUAAGAGCGUGUUUCUAAUAAAUAUCACGAUGCGUCGACCGUCAGGCCGCCAAGAGAUGAUGCUGAAAAACAAGAAUUCUGCAGCCCGAGUUGAGGUGCGGUAUCGGCGACUUUCAUAUUUCGUACAACAAAUCAGACUAAUGAGCGGCGAGGGUAGAUGAAAAAGUAACUAGUGUUUGUUAUUGUAAAAAGGUGGUCGCGACUGUUAGAGGUAAAAUUUAAUAUUUUACCAUUCUAUUAAAAUUCAAGUACCAACUGUAUGGUGAAUAAUAGUAUUGUACAAAAUUAAUCUAUAAGUUAACUCUCAAUCCAAUCACAGGGCUUUAGAAAGAACGAGAGAUCAAUGUGAAUGAAUAGCCAUAAAGAUAAAAAGCCAGUGAACAAUUUAGACUACCCAAGCACACUAUUCAAAUUUGCUAGUUGCUACAGCUAGCCGUGGCACUAGUCCAAUUUUCAGCCUCAAGAACGGAGAAAAAGUGCAAGGAAACCAGGUAUCUGAUCAUGCAGCUGAUGUAUCGACGGAUCGAGGCGUCGUAUCGUUUAUGCAGAAAUGACGUACGAUAUCGAAACGUACAUGUUAGAAGAACACGAGAUGAUCAGAAGAGCUGCAACAGAGACAAUGUGCAACAUGUGCAUGAGCCCUGAUUUUCAGGAAAUGAUGGCAAAGGUGGGACAAGAUCGCUCAAAAAUUUUAGUUUUACUUCUCGCUGAAGACGAUGAGCAGACAAGACUCGCUGCAGCCGGUGCUCUCGGAAUAAAGAAUGAAGAAUAAAGAAGAAAUCUGCAAGAUUAAAGACCAGCAAUAUUCUUGAAAUCUUGAUCGUACAUUCGAAGUCUGAGGAUGAAAACAAAGAAAUUGAAAGAAAUCGCACUGAAAGCACUGAAACAGCUGGAAAGUUCAUUCAGUCUACAGAAAACGAAAAAAUAAAUGAAAUAUUUUGACGCACCUACGGCACUAAAUUAGAACUCCACAUUGCUAGCAGGGCGUUAGAUUCCGACAAAAUUGACAAUCAAUUUUUGGUUGUAAAAAGUUUUGACUGCUGAAAAAACAAAUUUUUAAAACAAUCAUUUGAGUAUGCUAGCUCAGCCUUCUUUAAUAGACUGUUAGGAACUAAAUUUAAUGCUUAUAAAUUUAUUGUUUAUCGGGAGUUUUGACUUUAAUGGCGCCAAUUUUGGGCUCUUGCAUUGCUAGCAGGGCCUUGGACAAAAUUCACAAUCAAUUCUGGGUUGUAAGAAGUUUUGACUGCUGGAAAAAAAAUCAAAUAUUUAAAAAAAUCAUUUGCAUAUGCUAGCCUAGCCAUCUUUGAUAGUCCGAGGAUCUGAGUGUUUAUCGGAGUUUUGGCUUUUAGGCGAUUUGGGAGUUACUACUUUGCUAGCAAUUUCCAGACUCUAGGAACUAGAAUUAAAACUUUAUAAGUGUUUGUGUGCAAAUUUGACUUUUUUUUAUUACCAUUGAAGAUAUCAAAUUAUUCUCAAAUAAAUUUCUUCUUAUAAAAAGUUGCUUAUCAUAUCAAAUCUCAUCAGAUGUUGGUCUAUUAACAGUGCAUGUAAUUUAAAAAUCAUAUGUCGUGUUUCUCUAAACUUCUAAAAGUUCAAAUAUUUUAUUUUUCAAAUGAAAUUCAUAUUUGUUAAGAAAAUUAUUAUUUAUGUCAAACGAUUUAAUUCUUUGAGCAGUUACUAUCUGUUAUCAUUGUUUUUCUCGGUUUAUAUGUUGAGUCUUCAUUCUUUUCCUUGUUAAAUUUAUUUUAAAUCUUGCAUGCACUCAUUCAGUAGUAGGUUCAUCUCUCAACAAAGUUCGGACUCAUGUGGGGCUUGAUAGCUCCUUUCCUUUUAAAAUGUAAAAAAAAACAUUAGUUUUUUGUAGUUUGAAACGCUCAUACCCUCAGACUCUUCCGAAAUUACACUUAGGCGGCUUAUUUCGGCAGGAGAUCUAUCGAGGAAAAUAAAAAUUUCAGACUCCCCCCUCACUCUCUGAGAAUUCCCGGCUAUGUCCUGGCUAUGUGUACGCCCUGGUGCAGUCAAAGAUAAAAUGAUGCCUCCAACUCGCAUUCCAUGGUAAUGGAAGUUCUCCGGUUUUAAGAAAUCAAAUUUUGAUAACUAAAGCUUUUGCGUAUGAUGUCAUUCUCAGCUCCCUUCGAGAGAAACAUGGAAAACUUCAUAGCACUGUUAAGAGCCCCACAACCCCGCUACCUAUUCAUCCCAAUUUUUUCUUCACGCUAGAGUGCCUAUAAUUCUUGUGCAACCGUUUUUUACAUCGUGAUUGAAUUAUUUUGAAUGAUUUUUGUCAGUUUGUUCGUUUUUCACAAUUAUUUGUAUAAAAGUUGCAUUCGAGUAUUAAAUUAUGCUAU